AGACACAGCAAGUACCAUGAGGGAAAGAUGAAAAGGACUUUGAAAAGAGAGUUAAAAGUGCCUGAACUCGCUGAAAGGAAAGCGGAUGGAACCAGUCGUGCUUGGCGAGAUUGUUGCGUGCAAAGGUGACUGCUCACUGCUCGUAGCGUAAGCGCAGCAGCGGGUUUCGAUCUGGUCGCGCGCGAUGCUUCUUGCCUUGUUCGUCAUCGUUGGUUUGGAGGCGCGGACAACUCUUGGGACAUGGUAACUCGCCCACGGGCGAGCGAAUGUGCCUUGCAGAACUCACCUCCAAACUGAUGUCUCUUGUUAGGUUCUGUUGCCGUACGCGGCACGUUCUUGACAAAGCGUGGUGACAGAAUGGUUCUAUUCGACCCGUCUUGAAACACGGACCAAGGAGUCUAACAUAUGUGCAAGUAACGGAAAUGUCAAUUUCCAGGCGCAUUGAAAGAGGAAAGCGUUUAACCCGGCGGUCGAAUAUCUGUUUUGAUUUGGGCUGGAGUAUGGCUGUUGAGACCCGAAAGGU
rnacentral:rRNA from 1 species